rnacentral:lncRNA from 1 species
AUAGCAUGAACUACAAGUUGAUCAUAUCAACAUCUUUCUAUACUACAUCUAAUGUAUGUAUUAAACAAUAGAUCAGAUCUAUUACCUUGCAAGUUAGACGUUCUAACCUUGCUGAUCUGGGCUUGAGGAUGAUGUUGUAAGCCGCACAUACAUCCGGCCUCUAGGAGUCAUCCACACGAGCUCACGAAUCUCGAUCAGAAGUCCUGCUUCAGGAAAUCAGCACAGUAUGCUAGUACUGCGCUGAUCCUUCUUUGAUGGUUGAUCAGGUGCCUCCUUCUUGAUUUGGACUCUUCCAAAGAUGGAAAGUAGAAGGAGGAGUUUCAGAUCUAAGACACUCUCAGGAAACUCAAGAUGGAGGGAGGAAAUAUAUGAAAACAAAAAACCCAAGAAGAAGACCCUCUUCUUCUUCACGUUUUUCUCUCUAGACACCCAAACUUGCAUCUUUUAUAUCUCCACGACCCAAAGGUAUUUCUCUAUUAUGUUUGGAUGGCAAAAAGGUCUCUCAAAUAUCUAAUUUCUCCUAAAAUUCCAUGAAGAAACUCAUCUUAUAUAGAGAGAUAUGAUAGAGUCCUUGUCUAGGUCAAACACCUAGUCAAGGCUUAUCCAAACAUGGCAAGUUAAGGGACGCCCAACUCUUGAGCACAAUGUAUACCCUAAAAUCCAUGAAAAUUUCAAAAAAAAUUUGGAUAAAUUCGGUGCAAAAUUGAAAGAGUUUUGGAUUUCUAAAACUCUAUCUCAUAGAAUUCGAAAUCCAAACUUAUUCCUUUUAGAUUUGAUCCAAACCACCUUCCAUGUAGGAAAGAAGAGAGGAGACCUUUUGUGAAUGUGGGAGAGAUCUGAGAGAAGGCUUUUGUCACACAAAAUAAGUGGAGAUUGGCAUUGAAUAAGAGAGAGGGCGUGGAGAAGGAUUAUGUGGCGCAAGGUGGAAUCCUAGUCUUACUAGGAUUCUGUCUUAUGACUUGUUUUAAUUUGGUUUUCCAAACCAAAUCGAAUCAAAAUUAGAUCAACCCAAUUAAAAUAAGUUUUAACCCAAUUAAGAACCUAAUUUAAUCAGAUUAAAUUAGAUUUAAAUCUGAUUUAAUUUUCUAAUCAAAUUAGAAAUUAGAUUGAUCCAAGUCCUAGUUGAACUAGGACUAGUUUUUCCUUGCACUUGGCUUAUCCAAUAAACCAAUUGGACUUGAUCCAAUCAAGCCCAAAAUAAAUCUAAUUAAAUUAUAUUUAAUUAGACUUAAUCUCAGCCCAUUGUCUUAAUUAAAUUAAUCCAAU